UGUUUGAAUUCCCUGCUCAGGACGAACGCUGGCGGCGUGCUUAACACAUGCAAGUCGAACGAUGAAACCGCUUCGGUGGUGGAUUAGUGGCGAACGGGUGAGUAACACGUGGGCAAUCUGCCCUUCACUCUGGGACAAGCCCUGGAAACGGGGUCUAAUACCGGAUAACACUCUGUCCCGCAUGGGACGGGGUUGAAAGCUCCGGCGGUGAAGGAUGAGCCCGCGGCCUAUCAGCUUGUUGGUGGGGUAAUGGCCUACCAAGGCGACGACGGGUAGCCGGCCUGAGAGGGCGACCGGCCACACUGGGACUGAGACACGGCCCAGACUCCUACGGGAGGCAGCAGUGGGGAAUAUUGCACAAUGGGCGAAAGCCUGAUGCAGCGACGCCGCGUGAGGGAUGACGGCCUUCGGGUUGUAAACCUCUUUCAGCAGGGAAGAAGCGAAAGUGACGGUACCUGCAGAAGAAGCGCCGGCUAACUACGUGCCAGCAGCCGCGGUAAUACGUAGGGCGCAAGCGUUGUCCGGAAUUAUUGGGCGUAAAGAGCUCGUAGGCGGCUUGUCACGUCGGAUGUGAAAGCCCGGGGCUUAACCCCGGGUCUGCAUUCGAUACGGGCUAGCUAGAGUGUGGUAGGGAGAUCGGAAUCCUGGUAGAGCGU
rnacentral:rRNA from 1 species